AUUGCAGUCAGAACUCAACAUGGACAUGAGGGCCCAUGCUCAGUUUAUUGGGUUAUUGUGGCUCUGGUUUGCAGGUGCCAGAUGCGACAUCCAGAUGACCCAGUCUCCAUCCUCCAUGUCUGCAUCUCUGGGAGACAGAGUCACUAUUACUUGCCGGGCAAGUCAAGACAUUGGAAAUUAUUUAAGCUGGUUCCAACAGAAACCAGGGAAAUCUCCUAGGCGUAUGAUCUAUGAUGCAACCAACUUGGCAGAUGGGGUCCCAUCAAGGUUCAGUGGCAGUAGGUCUGGGUCAGAUUAUUCUCUCACCAUCAGCAGCCUGGAGUCUGAAGAUAUGGCAGACUAUUACUGUCUACAGUCUAUACAGUAUCCUCCCACAGUGAUACAAAUGAUAACAUAAACCCCAAGGAAGCAGAAGUGA